CCUACGGGAGGCAGCAGUGGGGAAUAUUGGGCAAUGGGCGCAAGCCUGACCCAGCAACGCCGCGUGAAGGAAGAAGGCUUUCGGGUUGUAAACUUCUUUUGUCAGGGACGAAGCAAGUGACGGUACCUGACGAAUAAGCCACGGCUAACUACGUGCCAGCAGCCGCGGUAAUACGUAGGUGGCAAGCGUUAUCCGGAUUUAUUGGGUGUAAAGGGCGUGUAGGCGGGAAUGCAAGUCAGAUGUGAAAACUAUGGGCUCACCCCAUAGCCGGCAUUUGAAACUGUAUUUCUUGAGUGCUGGAGAGACAAUCGGAAUCCGGUGUGUAGCGUCGAAAUGCUUGGAUAUACGGAGGCCCACCAGUGGCGAAGGCGGAUAGCUGGACAGUA
rnacentral:rRNA from 1 species